rnacentral:rRNA from 1 species
UGCAAGUCGAGCGGAUGAGAGGAGCUUGCUCCUUGAUUCAGCGGCGGACGGGUGAGUAAUGCAUCGAACCCUGCCUAUCAGGGGGGGAUAACGCUUCAAAAGGAGUGCUAAUACCGCAUAUUCUCCGAGGAGGAAAGCAGGGAACCUUCGGGCCUUGCGCUGAUAGAGCGGCCGAUGUCGGAUUAGCUAGUUGGUGAGGAAAAGGCUCACCAAGGCAACAAUCCGUAGCGGGUCUGAGAGGAUGAUCCGCCACACUGGGACUGAAACACGGCCCAAACUCCUACGGGAGGCAGCAGGGGGAAUUUUUGGACAAUGGGCGAAAGCCUGAUCCAGCCAUGCCGCGUGAGUGAAGAAGGCCUUCGGGUUGUAAAGCUCUUUUGUCCGGAAGGAAAUCCUGGCCUCUAAUACAGGUCGGGGAUGACAGUACUGGAAAAAUAAGCACCGGCUAACUACGUG